UACGUAGGGGGCUAGCGUUGUCCGGAAUCAUUGGGCGUAAAGAGCGUGUAGGCGGCUCGGUAAGUCCGCUGUCAAAGUCAAAGGCUCAACCUUUGAAUGUCAGUGGAUACUGCCGGGCUAGAGUCCGGAAGAGGCGAGUGGAACUCCUGGUGUAGCGGUGAAAUGCGUAGAGAUCAGGAAGAACACCGGUGGCGAAAGCGCUCUGCUAGGCCGCAACUGACACUGAGGGACGAAAGCUAGGGGAGCGAAUGGG
rnacentral:rRNA from 1 species